UACAGAGGUCUCAAGCGUUGUUCGGAUUCAUUGGGCGUAAAGGGUGCGUAGGUGGCGCCGUAAGUCAGGUGUGAAAUUUCGGAGCUUAACUCCGAAACUGCAUUUGAUACUGCGGUGCUUGAGGACUGGAGAGGAGACUGGAAUUUACGGUGUAGCAGUGAAAUGCGUAGAGAUCGUAAGGAAGACCAGUGGCGAAGGCGGGUCUCUGGACAGUUCCUGACGCUGAGGCGCGAAGGCCAGGGGAGCAAACGGG
rnacentral:rRNA from 1 species